AGAGAUGUGUGAUGACGCAUAUCAAUAAGCGGAGGAAAAGGCUUCCGGAGGGACAGUCUUCAGCGCGCGGUGGUACCCAGUCCAUUUGUACGCGCAGCGAGAGCAGCCCGUAGGCGUCAUCCCCGGGUUUGGCCAGAAUGCGGUCGAUAAACUCCUUUUGCAGCAUGACAACUGCGCGGCUGCAGGCGCAGGGGGAAGUGAGGAAGUUUGCCAGAAUGGCGCCACCGGCUGAGUAGGGGAGAUUGCCCAUGAACUUCACCGGUUGGUCUGCAAAGAGGCGGCGCGGGUCCCAUGAGGCACCGUCGGCGUGGUGCACUUCCACGUGCGGGGUAUCGGCCCAGCGCUGUUUCUGGUAUUCUGCCAGUCGAGCAUCGAACUCUACCAGAAUCAGCUUGCGGCACAUGGGAGCCAUGUGCUCAGUCAGGGCGCCAGUGCCCGGGCCAACCUCAACCACGCAAUCUUGGGGCUGGAUUUCGAGCUGUGCUACAAUCCAACGAGCAAUGUUCUCAUCGAUAAGGAAAUUCUGCCCCAGUGACUUGGAGGGCGUUACGGCAAAGGAAUCGAGAACCUGGUGAAUCUGACUGGCAUUCAUGGAACGCGCCCAUUGUAGCGCGCCUCGCCCUGAAAAGCAAGCGAUUAUUCUGGAAUGCGCCAGUUAAAGUGCCUUUACAAGAGGCGGGAAAGGUGGUAUGCUCAUUGGCGAUAUGAUGGAUUUAGCAAUUCGCCCGCGUCGUAAUCGCAAAUCUGCCGCCAUGCGCGGUCUGAUGCGUGAGACUACACUCUCCGCUGCCAAUCUCAUAUACCCCAUGUUUGUGCAGGAGGGGACGGAAAACACCCCCAUCGAGUCCCUAGCCGGGGUGCACGCGCUGGUGCGUGGCGGAUAUUGCUGCUGAAUGCCGUCGUUUGUAUGAGCUGGGUAUUCCCUGUGUGGAUUUAUUUGCGGUGGUGCCGGAGGAAAAGAAGGAUGCUGCCGGUACUGAGGCCUGGAACCCGGAGGGCGUGGUGCCGCGUGCCAUUGCUGCUAUCAAGGCUGCUGUGCCGGAGAUGCUGGUGAUGACGGAUGUCGCCCUCGACCCCUUCAAUACCUACGCUUAGGAUGUUGAUAGUCACAGCGUGUAC
rnacentral:rRNA from 1 species